UCAAGCUAACAAGAGCACAAGGGGAAUGCCUUGGCACUGGGAGCCGAAGAAGGACGUGACAAGCUGCGAUAAGCCGUGGGGAGGUGCAAAUAACCUUCGAUCCACGGAUUUCCGAAUGGGGAAACCCGCGUAGAGUCAUUUCUGCGCAUAUGCGACUGAAUACAUAGGUCGUAUAAGGGAACCGCCCGAACUGAAACAUCUAAGUAGGGCGAGGAAGAGUAAUCAACCGAGAUUCCGCGAGUAGUGGCGAGCGAAAGCGGAAGAGGCCAAACCGGGAGUAGUAAUAUUUCCGGGGUUGUGGACAGCGUAAUCCAACGAUAGGUUAGCCGAAGUGUGUGGGAAAGCACACCGGAGAAGGUGAGAGUCCUGUAGGCGAAAACCGACAAUAGGAGGCUGUAUCCGGAGUACUGCGGGACACGAGGAAUCCCGUGGGAAGCAGGGGGGACCACCCUCCAAGCCAAAAUACUACCCAGUGACCGAUAGUGAAGCAGUACCGUGAGGGAAAGGUGAAAAGGACCCCGGGAGGGGAGUGAAAAGAACCUGAAACCUUGUGUUUACAAGCACACAAAGCACGUUAAAGUGCGAUGUGGUACUUUUUGUAGAACGGUCCGGCGAGUUUUUCUCAGUAGCGAGGUUAAGGGCCUAAGGUCCGGAGCCGAAGGGAAACCGAGUGUGAAAUGCGCGAAAGUUACUGGGAAAAGACCCGAAACCGGGUGACCUAUCCAUGAGCAGGCUGAAGAGAAGGUAAAACUUCUUGGAGGGCCGAACCGACCCCCGUUGAAACGUUGGCGGAUGACUUGUGGAUAGCGGAGAAAUUCCAAUCGAACUCGGAGAUAGCUGGUUCUCCCCGAAAUAGCUUUAGGGCUAGCCUUAUAUUAGAUUACCGGAGGUAAAGCACUGAAUGGUUGCGGGCCCGAUAAGGGUACCAAGACUUAUCAAACUCUGAAUGCCGGAUAAUUGAUGUAUAGGAGUCAGACUGUGUGAGAUAAGUUUCAUAGUCGAAAGGGAAACAGCCCAGACCUACAGCUAAGGUCCCAAAUAUAUGCUAAGUGGAAAAGGAUGUGCAGUUGCUAAAACAACCAGGAUGUUGGCUUAGAAGCAGCCACUCAUUAAAAGAGUGCGUAAUAGCUCACUGGUCGAGUGAAUGUGCGCCGAAAAUUCAACGGGGCUAAGCAUAUAACCGAAGCUUAGGCAAUAGUCGAUUUUAUUGAUUGUUGGGUAGGGGAGCGUCGUAUAAGGGGUGAAGUCAGAUCGGAAGGACUGGUGGACUUUAUACGAGUGAGAAUGCCGGAAUGAGUAGCGAGAAUUAUGUGAGAAUCAUAAUGGUCGAAAAUCUUAGGUUUCCAGGGGAAGGUUCGUCCGCCCUGGGUAAGUCGGAAGCUAAGGCAAGGCCGAAAGGCGUAGUCGAUGCACAAACGGUUGAUAUUCCGUUACCGCCGAAACUGUUAAGUAAGGGGACACAUUUGAAUAGAGGGACCCGGGCGUUGGUUGACCCGGGCGUAAGGGACUGAAAUUUAGUAGGGAAGUCCUCGAUGUCAAGUGGCGAGAAAAGCCUUAUGGAUUGGUGAGGCGUCCGUACCGCAAACCGACACAGGUAGAUGAGGAGAGAAUCCUAAGACCAGCGGGAGAAGGGUUGUUAAGGAACUCGGCAAGUUGACUCCGUAACUUCGGAAGAAGGAGUGCCACAGCGAUGUGGCCGCAGAGAAUAGGCCCAGGCAACUGUUUAACAAAAACACAGGUCUCUGCUAAAUCGAAAGAUGACGUAUAGGGGCUGACGCCUGCCCGGUGCCGGAAGGUUAAGAUGAGAGGUUAGCGCAAGCGAAGCUUUGACUUGAAGCCCCGGUAAACGGCGGCCGUAACUAUAACGGUCCUAAGGUAGCGAAAUUCCUUGUCAGGUAAGUUCNAAGAUGCCGGUUACCCGCGACUAGACGGAAAGACCCCAUGGAGCUUCACUGCAGCUUGAUAUUGAGUUUCGAUAUUUCAUGUACAGGAUAGGUGGGAGGCUAAGAACUCAGGGCGCCAGCCUUGAGGGAGCCGACGUUGGGAUACCACCCUUGGGAUAUUGGAAUUCUAACCUGCGCCCGUGAUCCGGGCGGGGGACAUUGUCAGGUGGGCAGUUUGACUGGGGCGGUCGCCUCCCAAAAAGUAACGGAGGCGCUCAAAGGUUGGCUCAGCAUGGACGGAAAUCAUGCAUAGAGUGUAAACGCAUAAGCCAGCCUGACUGCGAGGGUGACAGCCCGAGCAGGAACGAAAGUUGGAGUUAGUGAUCCGGCGGUAUGUGAGUGGAAAUGCCGUCGCUCAACGGAUA
rnacentral:rRNA from 1 species